UGCGCAGGCGGGCCUGUAAGUCAGUGGUGAAAUCUUGCCGCUUAACGGUAAAAUUGCCAUUGAUACUGCAAGUCUUGAAUAUGGUUGAGGUAGGCGGAAUGUGUUGUGUAGCGGUGAAAUGCAUAGAUAUGACACAGAACACCGAUUGCGAAGGCAGCUUACUAAGCCAUUAUUGACGCUGAGGCACGAAAGCGUGGGGAGCAAACAGGAUUAGAUACCCUGGUAGUCC
rnacentral:rRNA from 1 species